CAUAGAACAGAUAUAUCGCUUCUUAGACUUGCUUUCAAUGAGAUUACUAUCUGAAUUUGGUCAGGUCGCCCAAAAAGUUACAUAUAGGAUUCUUUCACGCUUCCGGGUUUGUAGAAAGGAAGUUCAGCAAAGCGGCGUUGCUUAUGUUCCGGUUACUAGCAACAGCACAGAGUUAGCAAGCUAGCAUAAUGGCUGCACAGUCCUCUCGCCAAUGACACUAGUGUCCCAGCAACAAACAAAAACACCCAUACUUCAGGUUUCACAACUUCACAAAGGAUGCGACUGUACGUGACAGCUGUGUGAGCAAAUACAAAUCGUCUGAAUUUUAACGCGGCCAACAUCAACAUAACACAAAAAGGCCGUUCUCGCAUUAAAUCUGAAAGUUCCCUGUCGGUUCUCUGGAACGACUGGGGGAAGAGCCUGCAGUCUCGGUCUCUCCCUGACACAGCAAGUGCGCGACUGGGAACAGCAAGUGGAUGUCUCCGAUAUGGACACAAGUGUUGGUACCUCUGAAGUGACUGCAGCAUGGACCAUGACUGCCUGCCCUCCCUGAGCUACAAGUCCAACAGCGCUCUGUUCACCAGCUGCAAAGAUUCUGUGCAUCUGAUGACAACUCUAUACCCGGUCCCACUCAGGUCUUCAUGGUGUUCUGGGAAUCCAUUGUCCCCUCUGCCUCCAGGUUAAUCUACUAGUCCAAGGCCCAGAAGGCUGGAAUGGGAAGCACAACACCAAGGCCCAACAGGAAGCUGCCGCUCAUUGACAAGUUUUUUCUUUACUGCUGUCGAGUAGCUGCUGGGCUGAAGGAGGUGUUGGCGGACAUAUUUUGCUUGAGUGUCCGAACAGUAAGCUGCAUUAUAAUAAACUGGACCAACUACCUGUAUCUUGUCUUGGGCUCUGUACCCAUUUGGAUGUCCAGAGAGCAGGUGCAGGCAAGAACGCCUGACAAGUUCAAAGUUGUUAUCCUGGACUGCACAAAGCUGAGAUGUGCCAACCCCUCCUCUCUGACAGUCGGAGACCUUUUCAUCUUACAAAAAAACACACCACCUUUAAGGGCCUGAUUGGGAUUGCACCUUGUGGAGCCAUCAUCUUUGUAUCCAGGUUUUCACUGGGUCCAUCUCUGAUCAGGAGAUCAGAGCUAGCUCCAAUACAACCAGCCUGAAAGAAUUACUAGUAGAAACUACAGUCAUUUUCACUAUUUUUAGGAAUCCUUGUAAGUAUUAGCUAGGUAGCUAGGUUCGCCUAUUGAAAUUGAACUUCAGUUCAUGAAAUUAAAAUAGCUAGCUAGCUACUUAACCCUGUUGCCCAAAACUAAUGUUAUAAGCAGCCAGAUAGCUUCAUCUGGCUAGUGAGGCUCGGAUCGGGUUGUGUUGUGAAGCUAGAUUAGGCACAAUAGUGGAAUUUGCCGUUUUCCUUCAAAAUAAAAGGUACAGUCUUUGAAGUGAUGCAGGUUACAAUUGGUGGAAUCAUGCCAUAUAUAGACUAGAUAAUGUUAAACAAGGUUGGAAUGUGAAGCAAUGAAAUUGUGUAUCAGUCUCAGUGACACCCACAGAACACAACUGUGAAGAGUUUACGCAAAUAUUAGCGUUGUAGCUCUUAUCGCGGGACUAUGACUGUGUGAAAUCUCCCAAGUCAGCCUAUUGUGUGUAUUGACAUUCAUAUUGCACUGUAACAGCUUUACCUAAGGAUUGGGGAUCAAUGAAAUGGUGUAUCAGUCUACUCAAUACCCAAUAUUUUUUCGCUAAAUCCUCAGUUAUCAGACUCAAACAUCUACGCAGUAUUGCAUUUCCUCUGGAAUAGUUGACAAUAAUUGUGGCUCAAUUCACAGUCCCUCAAUAAGAGCUACAAUGCUAAUGUUCUCUGGGUGUCAUUUAUCCACAAUCCAUAGGUAAAGCUGUACAGUGAAAUAAGUAUGCCCCCAAUGCAUUUCUAAAGUAUAAUACAUCCAGUGUGAUUAACGUCAAAUUGUCUUCUGUUGAUUUUAUAUAACAUUCCAACCUCGUUUAGCACGAUCUAUCCAAUUAUGGCAUAUUUCUAGUCAUUUGCAUCACUGUCAAUUACACUUUUAUUUUGAAGGCUAACCGCAAAGUCCACAAUUGUGGCUAAUCCUUAGUGUGGCUAGCUUCACAUAGCUGGGUCCGACCACCAUUAAUCAAAUAAAAACGGUCUUAUUAAUUAAGGUUAUUUUAGAUGACACCUCACUAUAUAGUUAGCUAACUAUAGCUACUGAAACAGAUUGUCGUUUUGCUAUGUCUUUGGGGAAGAACAUUGUUUGCUUCCAUGAGCUAGCUAGCUUUUUUUUUAAUGACCGGCACUGUAGGUGCGCGAGACUACUUUACCAGCAUCAAAUCCUACGUAUCGAUGAAUCCUUGUGACAUAUAAAAUACGAGUGUAAUAACCACGUAAAAAAUGUAUGAACGCAUUAGUUGUGACCUGCAGUCAUAUUCAGGUCCUGAUUGGUCAACAAGCUUAUUUGACGUGUAUCUUUUUUGACAUGCCAAGACCCAAACGGCGUUCCAUAGAAAUCCUAAUUGGGACAUAUGUUUCCAAGAAAAUAACUUUUGUCAGUGUGGUGUGUAACCUUGAUUUCACUAGGCAAGUCAGUUAAUAAGAACAAAUUCUUAUUUACAAUGAUGGCCUACCCUGGCUUAAUUGUGCUAACUAUUGUGUUAACUACUUAACUGUAAUAGAAUGCUUAAAAAGGCAGCUAAAAUGUUAAAUAUCAGUUAUCAGUAUCAGGUUUUUUGUCAAGUUAAAUCUCGGUAUCGCCAAAAAUGUCAUCAGUGCAUCACUAGUUAUAUUAAUUAUGUCAUUAUAAAUAACAGCUUUAUACCAACGUGUACAUGUUUUGUGAUCAUUAUAAAUUGAUCUGUUCAGAUGAUGAAUUUUGGAUCAUUUGUAUUUUGAAUGUGUAUUAGGUUACGAAUAAUAUGGUGUUUUGGGAUGUAGUAUUUGCAUAAUGCAUUCAUCUGUUAGAACAUUGUUACAUUUGAUUUUAUCAUUAAAUAUUCAUUCUGUGA